UUAUAUUAUGCAUAGCACAUAAAUCAUCUGAUAUGUAUCUUGCCACUUUUGAGUUGUUUAGGUAAAGGAAGAAAUACUCCUAUGACUAAGAAAAGUAGAGAACUUCUAAAGAAUCAAAAAUAAAAAGAAGGCUUGAAUAAUGUACCUUGACUGGUUUUAAUCAAUGAAUAAACAGUUUCCUGUGAAUCAUAUUUAUAUAAUAAAUAAUACAUAAAUACUUGGUCAAUUAAAUAUUCCUUGAACCUUUCAACAUGACUUCUGAUAAUGAUAUUGCAUAAUUGAGUUUAACUUUCCUGUAAAGGAUCAAAGGAUGAUGGAGCAUCCAUGGUAUGUAUCUAUUGGUGGAUAUCUUAGAGGUGGACAUGCCAUAGUUAGAACUGCACAUAAGUAGCCCUCAUUUCUGUGGCAUACAGCUCUUGGAUGUUGCGAUUGUGAUCUUGUUAGGGAGUUAAAUCUUGGGACUAACCUUUAAUCUAUAUAUCAUUACCCAAGAUUUAACCUUUAAUUUAUAUAUCAUUG
rnacentral:lncRNA from 1 species